rnacentral:rRNA from 1 species
UACGAAGGGGGCGAGCGUUGUUCGGAUUUACUGGGCGUAAAGGGCGCGCAGGCGGCCAUUCAAGUCAGGCGUGAAAGCCCCGGGCUCAACCUGGGAAUUGCAUUUGAGACUGCUCUGCUCGGGUGCGGAAGAGGGAAGCGGAAUUUCCGGUGUAGCGGUGAAAUGCGUAGAUAUCGGAAGGAACACCAGUGGCGAAAGCGGCUUCCUGGUCCGACACCGACGUUCAGGCACGAAAGCGUGGGGAGCAAACAGG